ACUCAAAUGAAUUGACGGGGGCCCGCACAAGCGGUGGAGCAUGUGGCUUAAUUCGAAGCAACGCGAAGAACCUUACCAAGGCUUGACAUGGGACUGACAGGUUGUGAAAGCAACUUUUUCUACGGAACGGUCUACACAGGUGGUGCAUGGUUGUCGUCAGCUCGUGUCGUGAGAUGUUGGGUUAAGUCCCGCAACGAGCGCAACCCUUGCGUCCAGUUGCCAUCAAGUGAAGUUGGGCACACUGGAGGGACUGCCGUGGAGAACACGGAGGAAGGUGGGGAUGAUGUCAAAUCAUCAUGCCCCUUAUGCCUUGGGCUGCACACGUGCUACAAUGGCGCAUACAAAGUGAAGCGAGCCUGUGAAGGUGAGCGGACCACAAAAAAGCGCCUCAGUUCGGAUUGCAGGCUGCAACCCGCCUGCAUGAAGUCGGAAUCGCUAGUAAUCGCGGAUCAGCAUGCCGCGGUGAAUACGUUCCCGGGCCUUGUACACACCGCCCGU
rnacentral:rRNA from 1 species